rnacentral:lncRNA from 1 species
AAAUAACUAAAAGGAGGGUGGUUUACGGGUAUGAACCCGGAUCCGAAUCCGAACCCGGGGUGCUAGACACUUCGGCAGGGUCGGCCCUGGGAGAAUGUUAAAAUUUAGAUUUUAUAUAUAUAUUGUGAUGAAUUUUAAAAGAAAAUAUGGUUUUUGAAUAUUAGGUGCUGCGAGGGAUUUGCGAAAUUAAUUGGAUUUGUUGUGGAUCGCAUUCGCAAGGUAAGUGAUGUAACCUCUUUUCUAGAUUUAU